AUCUACGGGGACCAGCAGUAGGGAAUCUUCCGCAAUGGACGAAAGUCUGACGGAGCAACGCCGCGUGAGUGAUGAAGGUUUUCGGAUCGUAAAACUCUGUUGUCAGGGAAGAACAAGUACCGGAGUAACUGCCGGUACCUUGACGGUACCUGACCAGAAAGCCACGGCUAACUACGUGCCAGCAGCCGCGGUAAUACGUAGGUGGCAAGCGUUGUCCGGAAUUAUUGGGCGUAAAGCGCGCGCAGGCGGUUCCUUAAGUCUGAUGUGAAAGCCCCCGGCUCAACCGGGGAGGGUCAUUGGAAACUGGGGAACUUGAGUGCAGAAGAGAAGAGUGGAAUUCCACGUGUAGCGGUGAAAUGCGUAGAGAUGUGGAGGAACACCAGUGGCGAAGGCGACUCUUUGGUCUGUAACUGACGCUGAGGCGCGAAAGCGUGGGGAGCAAACAGGAUUAGAUACCCUGGUAGUCCACGCCGUAAACGAUGAGUGCUAAGUGUUAGAGGGUUUCCGCCCUUUAGUGCUGCAGCAAACGCAUUAAGCACUCCGCAUGGGAGAGGCCAAC
rnacentral:rRNA from 2 species